rnacentral:misc_RNA from 1 species
AAGUCGUAACAAGGUUUCCGUAGGUGAACCUGCGGAAGGAUCAUUAUUGAAUGAACUUGGUGUGGUUGUCGCUGGCCCUCUCGGGGGCAUGUGCACACUCACCAUCCUCAUCUCUCCACCUGUGCACCUCUUGUAGACUUGGAUUGACUUUCCGAGGCCACUCGGUCGGGAGGUCUGCUGGCACCUAGCUAGCUUUCCUUGCAUUUCCAGGUCUACGUUUUUCAUAUACCCCAAUUGUAUGUAACAGAAUGCAUCAUUAGGCCCUUGUGCCUAUAAACUUUAUACAACUUUCAGCAACGGAUCUCUUGGCUCUC